rnacentral:rRNA from 1 species
AUUGAACGCUGGCGGCGUGCCUAACACAUGCAAGUCGAGCGGUAACAGGUGUAGCAAUACAUGCUGACGAGCGGCGGACGGGUGAGUAACGCUUGGGAAUCUGCCUGUUAGUGGGGGACAACCCGGGGAAACUCGGGCUAAUACCGCAUACGCACUACGGUGGAAAGCCGGGGACCGCAAGGCCUGGCGCUAACAGAUGAGCCCAAGUCGGAUUAGCUAGUUGGUAGGGUAACGGCCACCAAGGCGACGAUCCGUAACUGGUCUGAGAGGACGACCAGUCACACCGGAACUGAGACACGGUCCGGACUCCUACGGGAGGCAGCAGUGGGGAAUAUUGGACAAUGGCGAAAGCCUGAUCCAGCGACGCCGCGUGGGGA